AGCAGCUUUUCUUUUAUCUGCACGUUGCAUGACAGGUACAGCAUUCAUUCUGUAUGUUCCAUUUUAAUGUCUACAUUGCCGGGGAGGGAAGGGAGGGGGGAGAGAAGGAAAACACCUCCUGGUGGAAAAGCUUCUUUAUAACAACGAAAUCUAGAUAGCGGUUGGUCUUGAAUUAAAGUCUGGCAGGAGCAACAUUAACGAUGCACAUUAAUUAGAUUGACAGAAUGGUUCCUGGCAUUGUAUUCUGAAGUGCGGUAAACCAAACACUGCCUAUUUAGGGUUUUAGUUAAUGACAAACCUGAGCUUUGGUUUUUGUGUGCAAAGUGGCUUCUCCCCCCCCCCUCCCUCCACGCCCUAAAUGAUAGCUAUGAGAACCCAGCUGGUUCUCAUUUUGAACCAACCAGUUUUCCCUAUUGCCAAGUGCUAAAAAGAAAAAUAAGCUGGGCAAUUCACAACUACAUGCCCUUCGGAGGCAGGAAUUUGAUUGUGGAUAUAAAUGAAGUCAUUCCUGAAACUUUCAAAGAAUGAGGGUAUGAGAGGUUGAAAGAUGAUAGAGAAACUCCCCCCCCCCCUUUUAAGCAUUAAACAUUCAAAUGUUUGAGAAACACACACACAAAUCUCUGCUGGUUCUAUAUAGCAUUCAUUUCUCCCUGAACUCUUUUCACCUUUACUCUAAUGGGUAUAACAUUUGCAAAGCAGAAACUGUGGGUUGCAGCUAGUAGGAAGAUUAUAGUGAAGGCUAUGGGCUGGCUGCACCUAAAUUGGGCAGAGAAUCUUCAGGGAAAUAGCACUCUGAUAGAUUAAGCAGGGAAGCCCUAACGGGUGGACUUGAAGGAAGACAACUCUGUAAAGUCAGUGCCUGUGUGCCUCUGCGCGUAUGUUUUCUAAGCUGCACUUCAAAGACUAUAGAGAACGACAACAAGCGAGAGCUGAAAUCGUUUCCUUAUUACUGAUCACUUCAGAACCAUGCAUUCUCCUAGCAAAAUAUUAAUGGGUCUUUAUACUGCAUCUCUAACUGAUGAAAAUACCUUCUACGUUUUAGUGAUGACUUUGCCCUGUCCCCAGCCAUCACAGCGGAUCUGCCUAAACAAGAGCAUCUUCAAUGGAAGGCUGAGUAAUGCAAGGCAGGAAGGAAGAGAGAAAAAGAAACUACUGUAGCAACCGGAAAUCAUGGAGUUAAAUGUUGUCUCCAGUUAUUAUGGGUUGGAGGUAAGACUCCACCCCCUUAGCUUGUUCUUGUUACUUUCACUUUCCUGUGUAGUGUCUUAGCCUGCUCGUCAAUAAACAGCCUUUCACUCUGGGUCUACAAAGUGAGUAAUUUUGCCAUAUAUUAACUGCUAUAUCACAUCAAAGCCUAUUGUGAAAAUAAAAAAUGACCAGGCAGCACAAUCGAGAGAUUUGAAUUUCAGAACCAUGAACAACACUUAAAAAAAAAAAAAACAAGCCAAGUUAUCAGUGCCUGGGGUUUUCAAAUAAUACCUUGUUGGUGUAACUUUGCUGAGCAUACAGUCAUAAAACUGUACAGUUGGAGGGGAUCGCCAGGGUCAUCUAGUCCACCACCACCACCCCCAAUUAGAAGUAUCUCAGCUAGAUCAUAUAUGACAGUUGGCCAUCUCUACCACCUCUCAUGGGAGUCUAUUCCACUGUCAAAACAGCUCUUACUUUUAAGUAAAACAACAGUUUUGAAGCCAAGGAAUAGAUGGCAUUAUGUAUACAAGAAUCAGUAAUCCUGGCAAGAAUAUGUUCUGGAUUUCUGUUGUAAGGAAUAUGCUGUACAGGUUUGCAGGCACAAGUGUGCAUUACAGACCCAUAUAAUGCCAGUCCUCUAACAUGUACAGUACAUACAUGCAGACCUUAUUCAUUCAGUCACCAAAGUUUGCAUAUUAACCCAUUUAUAUUUGCCAUUCUGGAGUCAGCACAGGAGGGACGCGAAGUGCAAGAAAAUGUAAAGCAUGUGCCAUCUCUGACGGCACUAUCUGUCUCUAACAGGAAAAAGAGAUCAACUAAAUGAGUACUAUUCAGGGCUCCUCAAUUAACCUGAUUAGUUCAGCACAAUGCUCCCAUGAAUGACACCUUAUCUUGAAAAUGAAUGGGAGGGGGAGGGGAGACUUCCUCCCUUGUGGGAGAUACAGGAGCUCCCUAAAGCCAGAAACGAUGUAGCCUAUCAGUGAUCAGCUCCCUCCCUGCCCCUGUUUCUUCUUCCCUCCUUAAGCAGGCAGGUCACUGAGACAAGAGAAGGCUGCGCCUGAUUAGAUUUUGUGUCCUAAGGACAGAUUGUGCAGGAUCUCAUCUGCCCAGGUGGCCUCAGAGAAAGCUGGGAAAGGAUGCCCUGUAGGCUACGGCAAGACCUUCUUUCAGAGUCAACCAGGCACAUGAUGGGAUUGCCGGGAGCAGGCUCCAAUUCAUUAACCCCUCAAUAACCGAGGAGGCGGCUGCAGCAGCAGCUAACAAAACCUGCCUGGAAGGAAGGGAGGCAGAAGGAGGGGAAGCUUCCCAUCCCAGGAAACAAUUGUUUUCUUCUUCUUCUGAGGCACGGCUCUUUGGAACUUGUCUCACUCUUGACAGACUAAUGGGAAGGAACUGUGUUGCCACCGGGAAAUUGGGGAAGGACACCCUCACAUAUUUCUCCGAGAGCAAUAUCCGAGAGACACUUGCUAAGAUAUGUUAUAGCCACCGUAAAACAUUGUGUUCACUAUAAAAUGGAAAUAACACAAAAGAGCUAUAUAUAGCCUGCAUGGGUUUAGCAAUAACGAAAGGAAAAAAUAUCCCAGUGACUACGGCUGUGACCUUAGAUCCCCUUAUUAUGGUAUGUCUCAGUGAAACUAGCAGUUUCUUUCUGCAUAAACAUACAUAGGAUCAGGCUGCUUAAUAUUUAAGGGCUAAUUGGAUCAAGUGCAACUUAACUUAGGAGUGUUUAUCUUUGCAGAACCGUGAAGCUUAAAUGUAUGGGUAUUAGCAAUAAUACUCUGGUAUUAUAUGAACCAAAAUAAUCCUAAAUGUAUUAGUAGCACAGCAUUGAAAUACUUUCAAACCAGACACGUCUACCACCCCCCAAUAGUGUAAAGCAGGUCUCAUCUAGCACUGUAUGUUUGAGGCUAGGCUUUUUUCCUUUAGCAUGGAUUGCUCAUUUUCUUAAUGUCAAAGCUGAACAUUUCAAAUAACUGUUGCUAGCUACAUGACUGUCUUGCUUGCAGACUGAAUCUCCUUGGCAGACUUUCCCUGUGUAGCCAACUGAGCAGAAACAUGGAGCUGGGCAGCCUAAGAUUCACAGCGAAGCAGAGGCCUGCCUUAGUGGGACUGUGCUAAAUAGAUGAAGGCAGCUGACAUUGCUUGACCAAGUAAGCACCUUACUGAAGAAGCAUUUAGCAGCUCCCAGGUAUUUUAAGGCUGAUACUCAUUCAAUAUUAAGCUCUGAUAGUCAAGGGAAGGGCCAUAGCUCAGUGCCAGAGCACCCACUUUGCAUGCAGAAGGUCCCAGGUUCAAUCCUGGGCAUAGCCAGAUAGAGCGAGAGAAAAGCUGGACAGCCACUGCUGGCCAGGGCAGUCGUUAGAUGAGCCAGUGGUCUGACUCACUUCAGCUUCAUAUGUUCACCAGGCUGGGGAGGAAGGAUAUGGUGUUGAGAAGUCUGAGACUUCUGUUUUCCCAGUGAGUAGCUGAACAUGUUUUGGGAAGAGCAGAAUGCUGUCCUCAGGAGCCCUGCAUCUGAAUGAUUUCAUGAGAUCUUUUUAGGGGGUCAAAGUCUGCAGAGUAGAUGUGUGUAGAAUAGGAACACACCAGCGGGUCCUGCUCUGACAUAUGCACUUUCAGCUAGAUUCUGUUUACAGUGCUUAUGCUUAUGAUUUAUGUUUCAAUUAGUUUGUGUACUUUUUGAUGUGCUUCAUUUAUUGUUUGUGACUUUUGUUAUGUUUGCAAUUAUAUAAAUCUCGUCA
ensembl:lncRNA